GACGAACGCUGGCGGCGUGCUUAACACAUGCAAGUCGAACGGAAAGGCCCUGCUUUUGUUGGUUGCUCGAUUGGCGAACGGGUGAGUAACACGUGAGUAUCCUGCCCUUGUCUUUGGGAUAACUUCUGGAAACUGGGGCUAAUACAGGAUAGAAGAUCCUGCUGCACGUGGGGGGUUGGAAAGUUUCGGCCGUUGGGGCUGGUCUCGCAGCUUAUCAGCUUGAUGGUGGGGUAGUGGUUUACCAAGGCUUUGACGGGUAGCCGGCCUGAGAGGGGGACCGGCCACAUGGGGACUGAGGUACGGCCCAGUCGCGUACGGGAGGCAGCAGGGGGGAAUAUUGCACAGUGGGCGGAAGCCUGAUGCAGCAACGCCGCGUGCGGAAUGACGGCCUUCGGGUGGUAAACCGCUUUCGCCGGUGACGAAGCCUGAGUGACGGUAAUGGGUAAAGAAGCACCGGCUAACUACGUG
rnacentral:rRNA from 1 species